AUGUAGGGCAAUCUGUCUUUAACUAGAGAUAAAUUACUCUUAAAAAAAAAAGAAUCCUAAAUAGUUUUCCUUUUAAGUCAAGCAUCUUGU
rnacentral:pre_miRNA from 1 species